CACAUGUGUCAUAAUACCUAAAUUUGGAAGAAAAUGGCCCAGUGUUGUGUCUAUGGCUGCUCGGAGAAUGGUGGGUUUGUAUUUUCUCGCGACAAGAGGCCGAGGAAGAUAGGUAUGGCUCAGGCUUGGCUCAGGCUGCAACGGAUUUCAUCCCACCAAACACUUGAUUGUGUGUCGGAAGCAUUUCACCGACGAUGAUUUUUUGGAAUAUACUGCCUACGGUACAAGAAUGGGCUCAACAGGCAGAGGAAAUGGAGAAGAGUGC